rnacentral:rRNA from 1 species
UAAUACAUAAGUAACCUGGCCUUUACAGGGGGAUAACUAUUGGAAACGAUAGCUAAGACCGCAUAGGUGUCAUAACCGCAUGGAAUGAUAUGAAAUAUGCUACGGCAUAGGUAGAGGAUGGACUUAUGGCGCAUUAGCUAGUUGGAGGGGUAACGGCCCACCAAGGCGACGAUCAGUAGCCGGCCUGAGAGGGUGAACGGCCACAUUGGGACUGAGACACGGCCCAA